GCAGAACUUCUUCCAGCGGGCCGCCAAGCCUCUGCAAGUCAACAAGUGGAAGAAGCUGUACUCGACCCCACUGCUGGCCAUCCCUACCUGCAUGGGUUUCGGUGUUCACCAGGACAAAUACAGGUUCUUGGUGUUACCCAGCCUGGGGAGGAGCCUUCAGUCGGCCCUGGAUGUCAGCCCAAAGCAUGUGCUGUCAGAGAGGUCUGUGCUGCAGGUGGCCUGCCGGCUGCUGGAUGCCCUGGAGUUCCUCCAUGAGAAUGAGUAUGUUCAUGGAAAUGUGACAGCUGAAAAUAUCUUUGUGGAUCCAGAGGACCGGAGUCAGGUGACUUUGGCAGGCUAUGGCUUCGCCUUCCGCUAUUGCCCAAGUGGCAAACACGUGGCCUACGUGGAAGGCAGCAGGAGCCCUCAUGAGGGGGACCUUGAGUUCAUUAGCAUGGACCUGCACAAGGGAUGCGGGCCCUCCCGCCGCAGCGACCUCCAGAGCCUGGGCUACUGCAUGCUGAAGUGGCUCUACGGGUUUCUGCCAUGGACAAAUUGCCUUCCCAACACUGAGGACAUCAUGAAGCAAAAACAGAACUUGGGUGACAAAGCAAGACUCCGUCUUGGACUUGUUGCCCAAGUCAUCUGGGAGGCAGCUGGCCAUCUACGUCUGAAGUGCAGGAGUGAAGUCUAAAGGGAGACUCAGACCCCAGGAAUAUCUCCAGAGCCAUCAGCUGAAGCCCCGGGAGAGGAUGAGAUUAUCUGGGAAAGCAUAUAGAGUGGGAAGAG
rnacentral:sRNA from 1 species